GGGGAGGGUCGGGCGUGUCCGCCUGUUGGAAUAUGCUUCUCAGGUCUUCUGGGAAACAGAUGUUUUGUGGAAGUGGAAGAUUUUGGAAGUAGUGCCUUAUCAUGUGAAACCACAGGGCAGCUGAUCUCUUCAGGCUUUCUUGAUGUGAAUGACAGCUUUGUUUCAUCCACUUUGGUGGGUAAAAGAAGGCAAAUUCCCCUGUGGUACUUUUGGUGCCAGGUUUAGCCAUAUGACGAAGCUUUACAUAAAACAGUACAAGUAUCUCCAUUGUCCUUUAUGAUCCUCCAUGAGUGUUUUCACUUAGUCUGAUGAAGGGUUCA
rnacentral:lncRNA from 10 species